rnacentral:lncRNA from 1 species
UCGCACGAGAUCCAUACCUGAGUCUACAGAAGUUCACAGCCAUUAUAGAUUCUUUACUUGAUUACGCACAUGUGCAAGCCAUUUUUUUUGAUACACAUGUCCCUUAAAAAUAUAAUACACAUGUUAAUUAUUUCACUCCAAGUUUUAUAUGUUUUAUUUCAAAUGAUGGUUUGAGUAGUAUUUUUAUGAGUGUUUAAUUGCAUGGACCUUUG